ensembl:lncRNA
GUCUUAUCGUUAAAUAUGGGUUAAAUAUGCAUUUACAAACCUGGGUCUUGUCUUCCAGGUUUGUAAAUGCAUUUCUGUAUUUAAAAGUAGCACAGCCAGUGAAAACAAUGGCUUGUCUCACAAACUACAUUGAAGAUGUUAACCUCCUACACUGGUGACUUGUUCUCUUCUAAGGCGAUGUGGAACUGAGAGUUCACAUCACAGCUUUCCAGUUCCAAGGAAGCCGGUCCCAGAAUACACUGCAGCAGAUCGACAACGACACUUCGUUGGAAAGGAUCCUCGACACUGUGUCUGGUGAUAUCACGUUCACGGGUUGCGGCCGCUGUGCUGCCGAGCUGGACACUGAUGACAAUGGGAUCUACUGUCCCUGUUACCCUUGCCUGCCCCAUACAGGAGUAAGACGCUAUUACCGGUCAGUCCCACAACACUGGGCCUCUCAUAGCAACAUUGGAUUACAUAGCGUGUAUACAGAGAGUCCUCAAUAAUACUUCACUCACUGACUUCCAUUACCUUGGUGAACGUGUUCACUUCUCAGGCUUAUCAAAUAAAUGUAUCAAAUUGAGAGAAUUAACCAGUCGCUGACUCAAGCAGCCAGUGUAGCUCAAAUUUCAACAGAGGGGAUUGUGUCAAUUGCAAACAGGCCAUUGCGUGUGGUGAAGUGGCCAUUUGGAAGUGAAAUCUGCAGUAAAACAUCAGCAGCAGAGUGGCUUGGGUUUGCAGUUUGUAAUCUGAUUCCUUUUCAAGGUCUGAUCCCAAACGUGUGUGACACUGCUACAAGACUGGGAGUCCGUUAACUGACUUCCUCUAUUCACCUCAGGCCAGUUCUGCUGACGGUAAAGGAUGGGGAGAGCCAGGUAUGUGUCCAUGUGCCACCUGUCCUGUUGCAAAAGAUCCUCCUGAAUACUCCUCCUGACAAACUGGGCAAGACUGUGGCCCCAGGAUCAGAUGUCAGGUUUGUCCAAGUAGUGGCUGACAGAAUCCACUCCUUACUGUCUGUUCCCAGGCGCACCUUCCUCCUGACAGUCCGCAGCCACUUCGUGUGUGAUGAGAACAGUGUCCCCACUGCCCAGGACUUCCUGCUAAUGGAUUUACAUGACUCCAAAUCAUCUCUCACUUGAAUUAACAGUGUCGGAUGUAGGACUAUACAUAUAUUUCUAUGCAAAUAGGCAACAAAGUAUCCUGACAGUGUUAUCAAACCUCCCCAUAAAUGAUUUUUGGUAUGGUAUUGUUUUCUUUGAACACUUCAUCUGGAUAUGGUAAACAUAGAAAACCUUUCCCAAAGCUUGCUUUCACUUCUCAAAACUCACUUUAAACAAGUCUACAUUCUCGAGGAAAGUUCUGGGAACUAAUAAAACAAUUUGAGCUCUAUGGCAAUAAAGAUCAGCACUUAGUUUACUCACACCAAAGCGUAGGAUUCAAUGGAAAGAACACCAUAGCUAUAUACAAAGAUGCAGGAGAGUUUUUAAUGUUGUGGGUUUGCCUGAGGCACAUUAUCAUGUGUUAAACUGAGUCUCAGAGUCCAGUGUCUUAAAACUGAGUCGUCAUUAUAGGAUGUGUGGCUUUUAGCAAGAACCCCAAACAAAUCAACAAGCACCUGGUUAAGAGAUGCUAGAUCGUUCUGUGUCUAGCAAAGAGUAUCAAUCUGAAUCACGUCCAUAACUUGAUGAGAGCUAAAGAAAAACAGCUCUUUCUGGAGUGCAUAACUCAAAAAUAAUUUUAGCAUUUGGCUGUUAGAAGUUGGCCACAUUGCCUGUAAAAUGUGGAGCAAGCUCAUGGGUGACUACAAGUGUCUGUUUGCAGUCACCUUGGCCAAAGGCUGUACAACCAAAUACUAGUUGUAGGG